GACGCACCUUGCACGGGAUAGGCUACCUUAGCUAGUACUUUACUGCUCCAGCGGGAGGAAGACCUGGCAACAGCCCAGCCAAUGGGAGGCAGUCCCAGCUCAGCCAAUGAGAAGCCACUGUACUUCAGACUCCCAGUUUCCUCCAGUGGACUUUUCGUUUAGAAGGGCCUUCCCUACUUCCCCCUUUCCCCUGGAAAAGAGCAUUCCUCUCCUUUGUUCUCCAGACUUGCCUGUGGUUCUGCCGAAGCUUGCUGGUCCUAGGUUGCAAUUCUCUGCUACUCCCAGAUAAACCCAUUUUUCCUGGCUGCGAAGUUGUCGGUGUGCCUUUGUACCUCAGCCAACUACCCUUUGAGACCCCCCCCCCCCCCAAACUCAGGAAGUUUAAUCAGUCCAGUCCCUGGCCCUUAAAUCAAUCAGGACCUCAUUGAAGUUCUGCGUGAAUCUCCCAAAGAGUAGCCAGCUACCAAGUUUUCACCAUCCUGCCACCUCGGUCCUCGCUUCUGCUAUGUGCACUGCAACCUGGCUUCCUGGGGCGUGAGCUGCCUGGCUUGGCACUUCAGGCACGCUGGGCCCUCCCUCCCGCGGCAUCUGGUGACAACAACCAUGCACUGAAUUAGCUGAACACGAAUGUCUAAAGCCCUGUGGCUGCAUCAGGGUGGCUCCCAGGAGCCUGAGGACAGGUGAGGCGCUCGGCUGUGCAUGGGGAUUCUUGUUUACCUCAACAGGGAAUCAGGCUCCCAGUGCGGCCAAGUUGGGCACAUGACCAGCUCCUGCUGCCACCCGGGUAAUUGGUUUUCUGUGUUCAUUUCAAUAAUGAACGGCAUUAAAGGAGGCUGGAGAUGCAAGGGAGAUACAAGCAUUGUGGAAGGAACAAAGAGAUUUUAAUGUGUUGAGUCGGGUUCUGGGAAAGAUGAGGGACAUGAUAAUCGAGUAUUAAAACAGAAGAGAUUAUGCAGUGGUCCUCACACCAUCCAUCACCGCCCUCGUCCUGGGCGGGUGGCAGAACUGAGUCUGCCGAGAUCCCGGCAUUAUCUCCGCAGUUUAUUUACAUCUCAAAUCAGGUUGCACUGACAGCAGCUAAAGAAAUUCCAGGGAAGAGAUGUAACUGCAUGAUCUAUUUCCUACAGAAAGUGCAAACACAAUACAGACUAUCUGGUUAAAUAUAUCAUCCCAGAAAUGAUCCAACCGCCGAAUGCUUAAGUCUGUACUUUAUAUUUCUCGUUGUCGUGAGACCAUUACACGCCCUCAGAGACCACCUGCCUCUCCCCUUCUCUACCUUUCUGUCUGCUCCUUCAAGACCCCUCCUUCCCCCUUGCCUGAGAUGUCAGUGCUCCCCAGGGCCUGACUUCCACAUUAUUUCCUUGUCUCCAUAUUUGCCUGGACAGCCUCAUUUCCUUCAAGGCUUUCACUACCGGCUGGAUGUGUACUGAUGACUUCCAGACUGACCUUUUGGAGGUGCCCAACACUUGUUUUUCCCUUCUCAGUUAUUUACAUGGCCCUUCUCAGUUAACUACAUCUUCAUAGUUAAAACCUAGACAAUAUGAGGAGUCUGCAAACCCCCCCCCUCUCUUCUUUGUCCUGUAUGUGCCUGGUUCCUGUCUUUAUGGGAGAGCAGUGCUGGGUUCUUAUGACUCCUUCCAGAGGCUCUUUACAUAUAUAGAAGAAAAUACAAAUAUAAAUGC